rnacentral:rRNA from 1 species
AACGUAGGUGGCGAGCGUUAUCCGGAUUUACUGGGCGUAAAAGGUGUGCAGGCGGGCCAUUAAGUGGUGUAUGAAAUAUCCCGGCUCAACCGGGAGAGGUUAUGCCAGACUGGUGGUCUAGAGAGCGAGAGAGGGACGUGGAAUUCCGGGUGUAGUGGUGAAAUGCGUAGAGAUCCGGAGGAACCCCAGAGGCGAAGGCGGCGUCCUGGCUCGCAUCUGACGCUCAGACACGACAGCAUGGGGAGCGAACGGG